UGGUGGGCAGCAGCUCCCCACAUGGAGCGGAAGACCCCGGGUGCGGUUGUCACGCAGCUUCACCAAUGCCAAGCCCCUGCUGUCCUGUCCGUCGCACUGACCCUGGCCAUGCAACAAUCGCCCAGCCCCUCUGUGCACCAGGAGGAGCGCCGGCCCGCUCCCGUGCAACCCCGGCCCCGCAAAGGCGGGCUGGAGCGGAGGUGUCAAAAAUCGCGGCUAAGGGAGGGCUCAGACACAACAGCCACGGUUUGGGCCCUGAGUCCCACCAGCCGAGCCCUGAGGAGAGCAGGGUGCCUCGUUCCCCUUGUGCGGGCGCCCAGCCUGCAAAGCUGCUCCGGCUCCUUGAAACAACCUCAAGAACUACCAGUAAAUUGACUUAUAUCAUCUUUGGCCUCAAUGUUCAUUAUCUGAAUAAUUCUCCUGUGGAAAUGUUCCUCACCAACAAAGACACAUGCAGAAUGAAAGUGAAAGGAUGGAAAAAGGAUCCCAUGCUAAUGGAGAGCAAAAAUGAGCAGGGGAAAAUGAGAAUGCAUUUUCAUGUUUCCCACAAUGUGGAAAUCACAGGGGUCAGCACAUCUGGAAUGCAAUGGAUAAGCCUCACCUUGAAAAACCACCUUCAUGAUCAUUAUAUUUCCCCUGCCAUGCUCUGGGAAGCUUUCCACUGUGGAAAGGGCAGCAGGCUUCAAAUGUACUCCUAGACCUCAGUAUUGACCUGGAUAGCAAUGACUUGGACUAGACCCGUGGAAGAAUCACCGAGAACUUUAAUACCUGAGCCUGGAUGCACCCCAGGCUAAUUUAAUGGACAUCUUUGGCAGGUGAGUCCAGACCACUAGUAUUUAAAACAACCUUUCCAAGUGAUGCAAAUAUGCAACUAGAGGUUAAAAACAUUUCUAGCUCUAAUAUGCAAUGAUACUGAUGUCUUGACAGGGACAUCUUUGUGCAUAAAUCUUUGUGUGUUUUAAAAGGUGUUCUUAGUGUGCACACUGUCUUUGAGAGUCCACUGUAUGAAAGCAUCUGUAUGUGUUUAGAUGAAGUCUAAAUGGGAGUACAAGAAAAUGAAAAAAAAACAUAUUAGGGUACAGGGAUGUAGGAUAUUUUUGUUAGAAUCCUAAAAUAUGUUGCUUUAGUAACAAAAACCCUCCAAUAAUUAUUAAACACUCCUUCCUCACACUCCCUUUUUGCCCUUUUUGGUUUGGAGGUGUUCUUUCAGAAGAUUAUUGAAACCUGACCUCUGAAUAUAUAAAUAUUUCUGUUAUUUGGUUAGAGCUUGGUUUCUCAAGUAACUUUCUGUCUCUGUCUUCUGAAAGGAUAUUUCGUGAGAGAAGUUGAAAGCUCUGGGUGGAUAUCAAAAAUUUUCAUUGCUGAAGGCUUAAUAAAAUGUGGUGAUUUGUUAUGUACUCAAUUAUAAGGACUAAACAUAACUCCUGACUCAGUUCUGAAACCUAAUAUGAAACAUAGGUCAUGGGUAAUAUUCAUCAGCAAUGGCCAUCAUAAAUAUUCAUCUGUCUGUCUUCAUUAGAGGGUUAUUAAUUUGUCAAUGCACUUUAUGGAGAAAUGAAAGUGACAUAUUCUAUCUGUAUUUACUCCUCUUUGAAGGUGGAUUCAUUUUUUUCACUUUUAUUUAAUAAAUAUAAAUUUCCAAAGUACAGCUUAUGGAUUACAGUGGCUCCCCCCCCCAUAACUUCCCUCCCACCUGCAACCCUCCCUUCUCCCGCUCCCUCUCCCCUUCCAUUCACAUCAGGAUUUAUUUUCAAUUCUCUUUAUAUACAGGAGAUCAAUUUAGUAUAUAUUAAGUAGAGAUUUCAACAGUUUGCACCCACACAGAAGCAUAAAGUGAAAAAUACUGUUUGAGUACUAGUUAUAGCGUUAAUUCACAUUGAACAACACAUUAAGGACAGAUCCUACAUGAGGAGUCAGUGCACAGUGACUCCUGUUGUUGACUUAACAAAUUGACACUCUUGUUUAUGGUGUCAGUAAUAUCCCUAGGCUCUUGUCAUGAGUUGCCAAGGCUGUGGAGCCUUUUGAGUUCGCCGACUCUGAACUUAUUUAGACAGGGUCAUAGUCAAAGUGGAAGUUCUCUCCUCCCUUCAGAGAAAGGUAUCUCCUUCUUUGAUGGCCCAUUCUUUCCAAUGGGAUCUCACUUGCAGAGCUCUUUCAUUUAGGUUUUUUGUUUUGUUUUGUUUUGUUUUGUUUUUUGUUUGUUUUUUGCCAGAGUGUCUUGGCUUUCCAUGCCUAAAAUAGUCUCAUGGGCUCUUCAGCCAGAUCGAAUGCCUUAAGGGCUGCUUCUGAGGCCAGAAUGCUGUUUAGGACAUCUGCUCUUCAAACUAAUGUUCUUCCACAGUUUACUAAUGUUUUGUUUGUGGAAUGGACAUUAGCCAAUCAAUGGUCUAUGUAAGUAAUACAUAAUGAAUAGAGAAGACAGUGAUUUAUUCCUAUACUUACCUGAUCUCCUUAAUGAACAAUAACCUAUGCUAAAGAGCACUGGGCAGUUUGUAUACCAUCUAUAAAUAGAAUAAAGCAAGGAUUGGCAAACUUUUUCUUUAACGGCCCAAUAGUAAAUGUUUCAAACUUUCCUACUAAAUUCUUGUGUUGUAGCACUAUAGCAGCCAUAGAUGAUAUGUGAAUGGAUGGAUGUGACUUUUUAAAGAAAAAAAAAAGUGUUUGUUUACAAAAACAUGUGGCAGAUUGGCUAGUGAUCCAAGGCCUGCCCACUCCUGGGUAUAGAUCAAACCCAACAAAUGUUAAAUUGACUUUCAGGUUGCAGCAGAAGAGUGUAAGAUAGGAUUGGGAAUUUUAAUUCUAAAUUAAAAAUCUAAAGAUGCCAGUAGUGAUAGGGUUACGCAUGAGUAGGUAGGUCCACUAUGCCAGGAAAAGUUAUGGGAAAAAGUUAAUAAGUGGUAAUAACAAUAUUUACUAAUUAACUAAUAUUUAUUAAAGAUUUGCUAUAUGACUUGGGUUAAAUACUUUAUAUUUUUUAUGUCAUAACUUUGAGAUAAGUGUUACAGUAUUCCAAUUUAGUAGAUGAAGAAGUUGAGGCACAGAGAGAUCAAGUAAAUUUCCCUAAGACACAUAGCUGGUAAGUGUCAUAGUUAAGAUGUGAACCCAGAUAGCAUGACUUCUAAGACUGAUCUAGCAACAAUACAUUACUACCCCUCCACAGAGCACACAGCCAAGGCCAAAGUUGUUGUAUCUGGGAGGGAAUAGAAGAGUCUUUAUAAAUAUAAUGUAGUCUCUGUUUAGAUUCUAGGGUUCACUGUGCUGCACAUGUGCCAGAAAUAUUGCCCUGGGGAAUAUAUGUGGUGACACAGUUCUUUUGAUUCUCUCAAAUUUCCACAUGUCUUCAAGUAGAGGCAUUGAUAGUCUUUUGUUUAGGAUCUCUGUCCUUAAUGUGCUGUGCAUUGAGAUUUAAUGCUAUAACGAGUACUCAAACAAUAUAUUUCACUUUGUGUUUCUAUGGGGGUGCAAACUGUUGAAAUCUUUACUUAAUGCAUACUAAACUGAUCUUCUGUAAAAAAAAAAAAAAAAAAGAAAAGAAACUAUCAACUCCCAACUUGACUCUCACUGGGAUUAAACAUGACAAUAGGUCUGAUCUGAUUUCAUCAUCAUUAAAAAAAAAUCAUCUAUUAUUUUUCACUUUAUGUUUCUGUGUGGGAGCAAACUGUUGAAAUCCUUACUUAAUGUAUACUAAGCUGAUCUUCUGUAUAUUAAGAUAAUCGAAAAUGAAUCUUGAUGUGAAUGGAAGGGGAGAGGGAGCGGGAAAGGGGAGGG